rnacentral:rRNA from 1 species
GUGAGGAAUUUUCCGCAAUGGGCGAAAGCCUGACGGAGCAAUGCCGCGUGAAGGAUGAAGGCCUAUGGGUUGUAAACUUCUUUUCUCAGAAAAGAAUUAUGACGGUAUCUGAGGAAUAAGCAUCGGCUAACUCUGUGCCAGCAGCCGCGGUAAGACAGAGGAUGCAAGCGUUAUCCGGAAUGAUUGGGCGUAAAGCGUCUGUAGGUUGUUUAAAAAGUAUUCUGUCAAAGAUUAGGGCUUAACCCUAGAUAGGCAGAAUAAACUUUUAAGCUAGAGUGUGGUAGAGGCAGAGAGAAUUCCCGGUGGAGCGGUGAAAUGCGUAGAUAUCGGGAGGAACACCAAAGGCGAAGGCACUCUGCUGGGCCAAUACUAACACUGAGAGACGAAAGCGAGGGGAGCAAAUGGGAUUAGAUACCCUGGUAGUCC